UACGUAGGGUGCGAGCGUUAAUCGGAAUUACUGGGCGUAAAGCGUGCGUAGGCGGUCCGCGAAGUCUGAUGUGAAAUCCCCGGGCUCAACCCGGGAACUGCGUCCGAUACUGGGAGGCUUGAAUCCGGGAGAGGGAUGUGGAAUUCCAGGUGUAGCGGUGAAAUGCGUAGAUAUCUGGAGGAACACCGGUGGCGAAGGCGGCAUCCUGGACCGGUAUUGACGCUGAGGCGCGAAAGCCAGGGGAGCAAACGGG
rnacentral:rRNA from 1 species